AUAAAAGCGAUAUUAGUUUAUUUUAAUUUGCUUCGUUUAAACAGUUUUUUAAUAUCAAAUUUAUCUUAAAAAUCACCCUAUAUUUACGAGAUGUAGUUUCUAUUUUUGUGGCUUUAACUUCUUCUUUUUGUGGUUUUAAUUAAGUUUGCCCAUGAUCUUCUGUAACUGUUUUAUAUUAACAUGUUAAGAGCAUAUUAUUCUCUACCAAAUUUUUCAUUCUUCCGUCCAUCUUCUUCUCAGUUUUUUUUUUUUUUUUUGUAUCUGAUCUUCCUCUCAGUUUUUUCAAGUUUUUUAUCAGUUUAAAAUUUAUAGUUCUAGGCUAUUUGAUUUAUGAACAAAAAACAACAAGAAUCAAAGUUUUUUUUUUAUGAAUGAUGAUUGUACUGUUUUUUCUUAUGUAGGAUUUGGAAGGAAAGUAGGGUAUCCUGGUCAAACGAAUCUGAUAAAUUAUAGUCUUCGUCUUCCUCGUCAGACUGCUGAAAGAAGAAUACGCAUAACAGUUUUCUGAGUUUCUUAUGGCGGAAGUUAGUGGAAAAACAGUGUACUGUUUGGUGUUUCAAGAGGAUAACUGCUGCAAAAUCUCUUGGAGAGGAUAUUUUCUGUUAGAAUUCAUACUACCAGAAUCUCUUGCAAGUGUAGAAGAGUAGAAGUCUAUGAGAAAAGCAGCAUUCUUCGAUGAAUUUCAUCAGUAUUGAAUUCAUUCAACUGAAGAUUGAAUAUAAAAGCAAAGGAACUUUUUUUAUUUGUUUUUAAUAUUUUUCUCUAUGAAUCCAUCUUUCUUUUGUUUCCUGUUUUUUUUUUGUUCUUCAGAUUCUAUCACCAGUGUAAAGAAAA
rnacentral:lncRNA from 1 species